rnacentral:pre_miRNA from 1 species
AGGAGCAACAGACCCAGUGGUGGGGCCAGCUCUGGAAACCUGGAUUCAGCUCCGGCAGGAACUCCGGAGCUCUCCGUCUGCAGGGCCUGGAGGCUCUGGGGUGGG